GAUAACUGACUUAUGGCGGCCAAGCGUUCAUAGCGACGUCGCUUUUUGAUCUUUCGAUGUCGGCUCUUCCAAUCAUUGCGAAGCAGAAUUAAAAAUCAUAUAUUUACGUAAUUGAGAUCUCCCUUAGUAGGUUGGUACCUAAUUAGUUGCAUAUGAAAAGGAAGCUUAGCCGC
rnacentral:rRNA from 14 species